UGCAAGUCGAACGGCAGCACAGUGCGUAGCAAUACGUAUGGGUGGCGAGUGGCGGACGGGUGAGGAAUGCAUCGGAAUCUACCCAGUAGCGGGGGAUAACCCGGGGAAACUCAGGCUAAUACCGCAUACGACCUAUGGGUGAAAGCGGGGGACCGUAAGGCCUCGCACUAUUGGAUGAGCCGAUGCCGGAUUAGCUAGUUGGUAGGGUAACGGCCUACCAAGGCGACGAUCCGUAGCUGGUCUGAGAGGACGGUCAGCCACACCGGAACUGAGACACGGUCCGGACUCCUACGGGAGGCAGCAGUGGGGAAUAUUGGACAAUGGGGGAAACCCUGAUCCAGCAAUGCCGCGUGUGUGAAGAAGGCCUGCGGGUUGUAAAGCACUUUCGGAGGGGACAAAAAGCGUCGGGCUAACACCCGGGCGUCUUGAUUUAACCCUUAUAAGAAGCACCGGCUAACUCUGUGCCAGCAGCCGCGGUAAUACAGAGGGUGCAAGCGUUAAUCGGAAUUACUGGGCGUAAAGCGCACGCAGGCGGCUGCAUAAGCCGGUCGUGAAAUCCCCGGGCUUAACCUGGGAAUUGCGAUCGGGACUGUGCGGCUAGAGUGUUGGAGAGGACAGCGGAAUUCCCGGUGUAGCAGUGAAAUGCGUAGAUAUCGGGAGGAACAUCAGUGGCGAAGGCGGCUGUCUGGCCAAACACUGACGCUCAGGUGCGAAAGCGUGGGGAGCAAACAGGAUUAGAUACCCUGGUAGUCCACGCCGUAAACGAUGAGAACUAGACGUCGGAGGGGUCUGCUCUUCGGUGUCGUAGCUAACGCGCUAAGUUCUCCGCCUGGGGAGUACGGCCGCAAGGUUGAAACUCAAAGGAAUUGACGGGGGCCCGCACAAGCGGUGGAGCAUGUGGUUUAAUUCGAUGCAACGCGAAGAACCUUACCAGCUCUAGACAUCUGCGGAACCUGGCAGAGAUGCCGGGGUGCCUUCGGGAACCGCAAGACAGGUGCUGCAUGGCUGUGGUCAGCUCGUGUCGUGAGAUGUUGGGUUAAGUCCCGUAACGAGCGCAACCCUUGUCCUUAGUUGCCAGCACUUUGGGUGGGAACUCUAAGGAGACUGCCGGUGACAAACCGGAGGAAGGUGGGGAUGACGUCAAGUCAUCAUGGCCUUUAUGGGCUGGGCUACACACGUGCUACAAUGGUCGGUACAAAGGGUUGCCAACCCGCGAGGGGGAGCCAAUCCCGUAAAGCCGAUCGUAGUCCGGAUCGGAGUCUGCAACUCGACUCCGUGAAGUCGGAAUCGCUAGUAAUCGCGGAUCAGAACGCCGCGGUGAAUACGUUCCCGGGCCUUGUACACACCGCCCGUCACACCAUGGGAGUGGGCUGUACCAGAAGUAGGUAGCCUAACCGCAAGGAGGGCGCUACCACGG
rnacentral:rRNA from 1 species